CGGUGAAACCCUCAACGAGUGAACACGUCGUAUCGUGUUAGUGCGGUGCAAAUUCGAGUAUUUCGCGAGAAAGAAAGAAUUUUCAUCCGUACUUCGGUGACUCCACGUUGUCACAUAGCGAGGGUUUCACUUGUAGUCCAGUGAAAAGAAAGUCCAUUGGACUAUAAACGAAAACUAACUGGCAAUAUAGCUAAAUCGCUGUGCAAUCAAUCGGCGUCAUCUCAAGUGAGGUGACGCCACCAGAAGUGAAGAAGAAGAAUUACGCAAUAUUAAUCAUCUCAAAACUAACAGCAGUUACAUAACUAGGCUGCAUAAAGAAACUAUCAGCAAUGAGGUUUUAGCUUAUUGUUCAUAUUGUGAGAGUUCUCUCUUUACGAGAGCCCAAUACCAUUCGAUAGGUCGCAACUCCGAGCAGUUUGGUGAAUGGACCUUUUUUAGUACAACAUGGAUUCCACUCGUUUUAUACCAUUUCAAAACAUCUUUGGCCAAAUCCGGCCUGAAUAGCGAGGGAGCGUCAUUGCAACUCAGGAAUGUGGUGAAGCUUCAGUUUCGUCGACCACAGAUGCAUAUUGCCUGCCAAACCAAAUAUGUUUUGGGAAACUUGGCCUUUUUCUUACGCGUUGGUGAGGUGUUUACAGAGAUGACGAAGACGUGUC